GAAAGGCUGUCUUACGCCAAAGACGGCUGGGUGUUUUACCGAGGCACCCCAAUUAGG
rfam:Blautia sp. CAG:257 genomic scaffold, scf12